AUCCUUUGAAUCCGUGCCAAGUCUUAUAAGUGGUGAAUUGGUGCAGCGGAAAAGUACUUUGAAAACAUCCAGUGUUUCAAGCUCUUACCGAUUCUACAACCUGCAGACAGAAAUAUAAGGGUCAAUAACAGCAAAGCCCUUUGUGCAAUGAAGUGUAUGGUGACUGUCCUGAAGACAAAGCAGUGGUAGAGGCUGCAAGUUUCAAACAGAACAACAAACUGGCCGAAUUCAAGGGUAUGGGGAUGUUUCAAAAGCAAAGACAACGAUCUAACAAGAUUACAAUAGAUUGUAUAAUUUUAUUGUUCUCCAGAAACAUUGAGAAGAUAAGUGUAUGUUACUUAAAAAGAAAACAUUGCUGGUUCACACAAACGUUCCCUAUUAAAUGAUUUUGAGAGGUAAUUUGAUGCAAAUAGAACAUGACAUUUAGAACUGUU